rnacentral:rRNA from 1 species
GACGAACGCUGGCGGCGUGCUUAACACAUGCAAGUCGAACGGAAAGGCCCUGCUUUUGUGGGGUGCUCGAGUGGCGAACGGGUGAGUAACACGUGAGUAACCUGCCCUUGACUUUGGGAUAACUUCAGGAAACUGGGGCUAAUACCGGAUAGGAGCUCCUGCUGCAUGGUGGGGGUUGGAAAGUUUCGGCGGUUGGGGAUGGACUCGCGGCUUAUCAGCUUGUUGGUGGGGUAGUGGCUUACCAAGGCUUUGACGGGUAGCCGGCCUGAGAGGGUGACCGGCCAAAUUGGGACUGAGAUACGGCCCAGACUCCUACGGGAGGCAGCAGUGGGGAAUAUUGCACAAUGGGCGGAAGCCUGAUGCAGCAACGCAGCGUGCGGGAUGACGGCCUUCGGGUUGUAAACCGAUUUCGCCUGUGACGAAGCGUGAGUGACGGUAAUGGGUAAAGAAGCACCGGCUAACUACGUG